rnacentral:rRNA from 1 species
AUUGAACGCUGGCGGCAUGCUUUACACAUGCAAGUCGGACGAGUGGCGAACGGGUGAGUAACGCAUCGGAACGUACCGAGUAAUGGGGGAUAACUGUCCGAAAGGACAGCUAAUACCGCAUAUUAUUCGAGCGGCCGAUGUCGGAUUAGCUGGUUGGCGGGGUAAAGGCCCACCAAGGCGACGAUCAGUAGCGGGUCUGAGAGGAUGAUCCGCCCACCUGGGAUGGAUACACGGCCCAGACCACUACGGGAGGGAGCAGUGGGGAAUGUUGGACAAGGGGCGCAAGCCUGAUCCAGCCAUGCCGCGUGUCUGAAGAAGGCCUGCGGGUUGUAAAGGACUUUUGUCAGGGAAGCGGUACCUGAAGAAUAAGCACCGGCUAACUACGUGCCAGCCGCCGCGGUAAUAC